UACGAAGGGGGCUAGCGUUGCUCGGAAUCACUGGGCGUAAAGCGCACGUAGGCGGAUUGUUAAGUCAGGGGUGAAAUCCUGGAGCUCAACUCCAGAACUGCCUUUGAUACUGGCGAUCUUGAGUCCGGGAGAGGUGAGUGGAACUGCGAGUGUAGAGGUGAAAUUCGUAGAUAUUCGCAAGAACACCAGUGGCGAAGGCGGCUCACUGGCCCGUAACUGACGCUGAGGCACGAAAGCGUGGGGAGCAAACAGG
rnacentral:rRNA from 1 species